GUGCAGGCCUUCACGCGUAUGGUCAAGGUCUGGAAGCAAGGCUGCCUAGGACAGCACUGGUGCAUGGGAUACGAGAGAAGGACGGCAUACUACACAGCAUAUAAACAAAUCUACAGACAAGACUUCCAGACCGUGUAUAAGUGCUGUCCUGGAUGGUCUCAACUCAACGGAGAGGCUGGCUGCUUGUAUCCUGUGUGUAGCUACGGCGUGUGCUUCAACGGGGGCCAGUGUCGGGAGAGCUCCCGCUCCAGCUCCCAGGUUUGUGACUGUCC